rnacentral:rRNA from 1 species
AACGAACGCUGGCGGCAUGCCUAACACAUGCAAGUCGAACGAGACCUUCGGGUCUAGUGGCGCACGGGUGCGUAACGCGUGGGAACCUGCCUUUAGGUUCGGAAUAACUCAGAGAAAUUUGAGCUAAUACCGGAUAAUGUCUUCGGACCAAAGAUUUAUCGCCUUUAGAUGGGCCCGCGUUGGAUUAGCUAGUUGGUGGGGUAAAGGCCUACCAAGGCGACGAUCCAUAGCUGGUCUGAGAGGAUGAUCAGCCACAAUGGGACUGAGACACGGCCCAGACUCCUACGGGAGGCAACGGUGGGGAAUAUUGGACAAUGGGCGAAAGCCUGAUCCAGCAAUGCCGCGUGAGUGAUGAAGGCCUUAGGGUUGUAAAGCUCUUUUACCCGAGAUGAUAAUGACAGGAUCGGGAGAAUAAGCUCCGGCUAACUCCGUGCCAGCAGCCGCCGUAA